ACCCCGCCUCGCUCCUGCCCCGCACGCCUCGCUCUGCCCUCUCCUCCAGCUCUGCAUUUGCUCAUCCAGAAGUCUCUGCACCCACCAAGCUCUUGGGACCCUGCUGCUUGUCUUGUGUCUGCAUAUAACAUAUAACCCGGCUCCCCUCUCUCACUUGGCCCAAAUUAUCACCUCUAGAAAUGAAGGGCUUGGAUGACCUGUGCCUUGUAUCCCUCCCUGGCAGAACCUAGCUUCUCUGUGGGUUGUGGGGCAUCAAGUCUUCUGUUUCUUCCAUGUCUCAUGAGAACCCGCCUUCCUCUGUGAGGCAGGUACCAUUACUUCCCCAUUUUACAGAUAGGGAAACAGAGGCUUGGAGAAGUUAAAUUAUAUGCCUUGGGCAAGUUUCCCAGCCAGUGGCUGAGCUAGAACCACAUCUAGUCUGUUGCCUCCUGAUCAAGAGAGAGAAGGAUGCACAUCAUGGAGCACCUGUCGUACACACACUGACCCUGUGUGUAUAUAUUAACUUACUUCAUUCACUUAAUAUCUGUCAAUUGUAGAUGCAGUUAUCUGCAGUUCCAGUUGAAGGUUCUUCAACAAGAGGCCUGUUGACCUGAGUGCUGCCUGCGUGGCCUUGGGUAAAGACAGUGAAACUGGGAAAGGUUAAGUUGCUCGUCCAAAGUCACAAACCCAGGAAGGGUCAGGACAGACUGGCCCCUCCCUGCUACCUGGAGUCCCUUUGCUGACCCUGGAAGAGUUGGAGGCCCGGGCUCUGGCUCUGGCUCCAUCUGGGUCUUCCAUCUCCUUUGAAGAAAGGAUCGAUGCUUUCACGGCGUUGCCGCCUCCCUCACAGAGGCCCAGCUUCCUGACACUGCUUUCAGGUUGUAAAGAUCUAAUGCAGGGGAGGCGUUUGGAUGCUCCCCACCUCCACAUGCACCUGUACUCCUGGCCAGACUCCCCCCCAGGAGUCCCCUGCCAAUGUCCUGCUCCUACACGAAAUGGUUUAAGUCCCGAGCAAGCCUGGCGCAGCCCAGUGGGGAGGAUGCUCUGCCCUGGGCCCUCUCUGCUUGAGGGAUGCACAUCCCAGCCUCAGCCUGCUUUCCCUGCUGCUCACUGACCCACCUGCUGCGCACCCUCCUCGAGGCCCUGCCAUUGUAACUUCUUUUGGGGUGUGGCCACACUGUUUGUGGUGUCCAGCACUCUAUAAGGGUCUUAGAAACUGUUGUCCUGCUCCCAUGUGGCCUCCACCUAAGGCAUUAGCUGGUUGGUGGCCUCUGCUUUUGCGUUCCCAUCCCAAUCCUAUGAGUCUUUCAUGUCUUCUUCAUCUCUAGAGCUAUAAGGGCUCAGUUUGUAUUUAUUAAAUAAAGGAAUCAACUGCA